AGAGAGAGACAUGCGCGCAUAUCAAUAAGCGGAGGAAAAGAAACUAACUAGGAUUCCCUCAGUAACGGCGAGUGAAGCGGGAAGAGCCCAAAUUUGAAAUCUUCAAGGUUCUACCUUGACGAAUUGUAGUUUAAAGAAGUGUUUUCUGUUGGAGUUUUGGUAAAAGUUCUUUGGAAUAGGACAUCAUAGAGGGUGAGAAUCCCGUAUUUGACCAUUAUUUCAGCUUUGUGAUACACUUUCAAAGAGUCGGAUUGUUUGGGAAUGCAGUCCAAAAUGGGUGGUAAAUUUCAUCUAAAGCUAAAUACUGGCGAGAGACCGAUAGCGAACAAGUACCGUGAGGGAAAGAUGAAAAGAACUUUGAAAAGAGAGUUAAACAGUACGUGAAAUUGUCAAAAGGGAAGCGUUUGACACCAGUGUUGUUUUCUCGAAAAUCAAUUAAAAAGAGUUAGAUUUUGUUGUGUAUUGACCUUAACAGCUUGCAUUUCAAUUUUCUUGCUUUUUUUAAUGCACUUUUCGUUUAACAAGUCAACAUCAGUUUCUUUUGUUGUAAAAAGGUCAUUGGAAGGUGGCUUUCUUUUCGGAGAAAGUGUUUAUAGCCUUUGGCCUCUGCAAUCGGAGAGAUUGAGGUCUGCAGCGUAGAUCCUUCGGGGUUAGAUACAUUUGUGCUAAGUUAUAGCCUUUCAUAGACAACUUGUUGACUAUGAUCAGUCAUGUAGCUUACUCGCUUAUGCUAUUUUACCUACGCUUAGGAUGUUGAUGUGAUACUGCGAGCA
rnacentral:rRNA from 1 species